rnacentral:rRNA from 1 species
CAUGUGCCAGUUCAUACGAGAUACAAGUGAGACUGCGGAUGGCUCAGUAAAUCAGUUAUAAUCUGUUCGAAAGUAAACCCAUUGGAUAACCGUGGGAAAUCUAGAGCUAAUACAUGUCGAAUGGUGCCCGGCUCAUGCUGAGCACCGGCAUUUAUUGGACAAAACCAAAUGAUGGUUGGUUCGCUAGCCGUCAGGGUGAAUCUAGAUAACUGAGCAGAUCGCAUGGCCUUGUGCCGGCGACGUUUCGAUUGAAUUUCUACCCUAUCAACUCGUUGGUAAGGUAGUGGCUUACCAAGGUUGCAACGGGUAACGGGGAAUCAGGGUUCGAUUCCGGAGAGGGAGCCUGAGAAACGGCUACCACAUCCAAGGAAGGCAGCAGGCGCGUAAAUUACCCAAUCCAGACAAUGGGAGGUGGUGACCAGAAGUAUCGGGUGGUAUUUAUACCAAACCUGAAAUGAGCAUAGAGUAAAAAUGUAGUCGAGUAACAACUGGAGGGCAAGUCUGGUGCCAGCAGCCGCGGUAAUUCCAGCUCCAGUAGCAUGUCGUAAAGUUGUUGCGUUUAAAACGCUCGUAGUUGGAUGAUACAGCAUCGUGCAGUUAGCUUGUGGUCACGGACGUUUAUUCCUCUAUGUACAAGCAGGGCGUUAGUUGAAUCUGGCGUCUUGUGCCAUGGUAGGAGUCUGUGUUGCAGUGCUUUCGCUGAACGGUGCUACUUGCAUGCGAGAAUGGUGAUUGGCCUUUAGUGCGUCGGUCAUUGUGUCUCGUAGGGUGUGCCUUGAAUAAAUCAGAGUGCUUAAAGCAGGCUGUUGCUUGAAUGAUACAGCAUGGAACGAACAAACGUGUUACGUAUCCGAAUGCCGUUCAGAAAUGAUUGGCGUUUGGAUACAUCACCAACCACCUAUACGGCUGUUGGUUACCGUAUUGGGGUGAUGAUUAAAACGAGCGGUUGGGGGCAUUGGUAUUUGGCCGCGAGAGGUGAAAUUCUUAGACCGGCCAAGGACUAACAAAAGCGAAGGCAUUUGCCAAGACCGUCUCGAUUGAUCAAGAACGAUAGUGAGAGGUUCGAAGACGAUCAGAUACCGUCCUAGUUCUCACUGUAAACUAUGCCGACCCGGGAUCGGCUUUGAGCUAAUACCAACGCUCCAGGUUGGUCCCCCUGGGAAACCUUAAGUUUUUGGGUUACGGGGAGAGUAUGGUCGCAAGGCUGAAACUUAAAGGAAUUGACGGAAGGGCACCACCAGGGGUGGAGCCUGCGGCUUAAUUUGACUCAACACGGGACAACUCACCGGUUCCGGACGUCAAAAGGAUAGACAGACUGAUAGAUCUUUCUUGAUAUGAUGUGUGGUGGUGCAUGGCCGUUCUUAGUUCGUGAAGUGAUUUGUCAGGUUGAUUCCGGUAACGAACGAGACCAAUAUCUCCAUUUACAAUGCAGAAUGGUGCGUAGUUUUCUACGUGCUCAGUUGUUGGUUACAGUCGACGGAGAUUCCUGAGAUUGUUGCUGAUAGCUUUCUUCUGUAAUGUCGACUGUGUUCUACACGGGCGACUGCAUGGAGAGACAACUGACGGUAUAAAUCAGAGGAAGUUUGGCAAUAACAGGUCUGUGAUGCCCUUAGACGUACCGGGCUGCACGCGCGCUACAAUGAUGACGACAACGAGUUAUCUGGGCCGAAAGGCUUGGGAAAUCUUCAAACCGUCAUCGUGAUGGGGAUUGUCCGUUGUAAUUUGGACAUGAAAUAGGAAUCCCUUGUACGUGCAUUUCAUUAGAAUGCAUGGAAUAGGUCCCUGCCCUUUGUACACACCGCCCGUCGCUACUACCGAGUGAAUAGCGUCAUGAUGCGUUGGGACCGGACGCCGUCAAGUUCACGCUAGAUGGUGCUGGAAUCAAUGUAAAAUGGCACAAUUCGAGGAA